CCGACAUUAAAAUAAAUAAAGAAAUAAAAUAAAAAUAAACUACUGCAAGUGAACGGCGAGGGCUCAGAAAAUCCAAGCGUCCAAUUCUUCCAACUUAGUUAUGUGCACGCCUGGAACAAGUAUAAUGUGGAUCAAGUCUCAGCAAAACCUCACCUAUUGUUAUUAUUAAACGCACAGCGAGGAGAAGACUUGUGAUUGCAGGUAAAAAAAAAAGUAUUCAGCAUUUCACAUUUGUUCGACAGCCCCGAACAAGGAUGUUUUUGGAGUUGUUGAAAAUAACAUCAAAUGCACACAUCACGAUGCAUUUUCCUCAUCAACAUUAGGAUUAACUGCACCAGAAAUAAAUGUUUCAUCAAAGUUUUCAAUUUUUUAAAUAAAAUAUUCUAGCAUUUUGCACAAGGAGCACAUCGUUCAAACAAACGUGCAUGUGCAAAUUCUGAAUGUGAAAAGUAAUCAGAUUCAAGUUUACAUGGGUGUUAUUCUUUUAUUUAAUGGAUUAUUAAUAAAAGGAUUACCCACUUGAAUCGCUUGAUAGAAAUCUCACUAUGAUUGUCUUCAAGAGGUGUGUGUGUGUAGCUGUAUCUAUAUAAAUAUCUAGAUAGAGAUUUAAGCUGCAUGUAGCUAUUACAGUUGUUAGCGCUGGAAGUGUAAUUCCUCCCCAGUCCUGCGGUGGCGCUGUAACCUGCAUCUUCACUCACAGCGCGUGCUUUCCUAGUACAGGCGUGCGCGCGCUACAUAUAUCCCCAGCGAGAAGAGAAAAUGGAGGAAGUCAUUACGUUGACCGCGUUGCAGACUACCUAUAUUCCUAAAUAUCUCGUUGUGAUGUGAAUGGCUCAGGAACUGCUCGUUAUUAAACACUAUUCCCAGUUCAGCAGAGCCUGAACGGCACCCAAACAGCUGAAGUCAAUGAGGGAUUUACGAAAUGAUUAUUCCUUAAAGAUGGGGCCGUACCCACUUUAUUUGGACCAUUUUGCGCCUCUGGAUCACAACCUGUAAGUAUGAUUGGUUAUUCAUGUAUAUAUUUUCUACUGAGUGUUCCAAAUGCGUAGUUUUGUGGUGUUUAUAUGUGUACAGCCAGUGUACUGCUGUAGGCCUCUGUUAACCGGCUAACUCACAUUAUUGCCAAACUACCUACAAACCUACCACUGAGAAACAUUCUGUUCUCAUCGUGCUUGUGAUGGUGGUUCGGGUUGAUCUUCCGACGUAUCAGACUCGGGGCUCAAAUUGAUGAGGUAAAUCCGACAACAUUAUUACUGAGCUGAAAUGAUAUAAGAUAUGAUAGUGAGGGUUUCAUUUCCAACGCGUUGUGAGCGGUAUAACAAUCACAACAGACUUGGGCAUCUGACCAGUCAGAGCAGAGUAGACUCUCUGUAAGGAGGAGUUUAGUGUGAACAGAUCCUUGAGCGAGUCGUUUGUAACCCUUUGAACAAGAGGUGAUGCUGCAAUGUAAAUUAUGAGAAAAUUUGUGUUUUUUGACCUUGGAUGCAUGUAAACCUUUUGUUUGAGAUUUCUAAUACAAAAUUAGGCACUUUUAUACAGCAUAAUAAGGGCACUUUAAAGAAAAGGUAUUUAAAAAAAAAAAAAAAAACAAAACCUGUUUGCACUAUUUGCUGUCAGUAUUUUUACACCUCUGCAUUUUCCAAAGUUCAUUCAAAGAAAGUGUUGAAAAAUUAGUUUAUUUGUAAAUGCGCUAUGUCAGAACAAAAAUGAAAUCAUAAUCACGAAUCGUCAAAACGUUGAAUUUUAUUAAUUUUUUUUGCGAUAUCGCCAAGCCCAAGAUCGCAGCGAUCUAAUUCAAUGAUGAACUAAUUAAACUAAUAAAAUUCUUGCUCAACAAGAAUUUCUACACUUUUAUUGCAGCGGGAGCUGAUGUACAUCUCAUAUGCCUCAUGUUUUAAAGAAGUAUAAGGUUUAAUUAGGAAACAUGCAUCAGUUUUCCAAGAAAGCUUGCAUUUCGACCUCAUUAUCGUGGACACUUUGAUGAAGGGUGGCACAAUAAGUUUAUAAUUUUAUACUGUAGCGUUUAUAUCAAUCAUUUUUCUAUCUGUGUGUUACUGUAAUAUGUAUAUUGUUUGUUGCUUCUUUGGAUGAGCAAAAAGGAGUUCAUCAUUGACUGAUGAAUUUUAGCUUCUGGGUGCAGAUAUGAUAAAAUGCGUUAUAGUGGACUGUGUUCCACUUUCAGCAUGUACGCGUCGUAUGUGUGUGUAAUAUAUAAUUAGUACAUAUAUUUUUGGUGUUCACUCAAAUAUCAAUUACAGAACUGUUCCCUUAAGUAAAUCAACUAAAAUGUUCAAAAUAAAUACUCGUCAACCUGUACAUGGACCACGCCACCUUAACUGAAGUGGUGAAAAGCUCAACUCUGCAUUGUAUGUGUUGUGCUUCUCUCUUAACUAUGGAUAAUUCUGUUUGAAAUCUAGCAAGUGACUCCAUCAUGGAGGAGAUUGUGAGCCCUGAGCUAGCUCAAAGUCCUGAGCCUGAGUCCAGCCAGGAUUUGGAUUCCAGUUCACAAGGUACCACUGACCUUGGAGCGCUGUAUGAAUGAGAGCUUCAUUUACCUGGUUCGCAGCAGCUUGGUGGAACUUUAAUCUGGCUCUGAAUCAGUUCUACUAUUGAACUUAUUGUUGCAAACUGGUGUCUCAAUUCAAAUCUUGCACUCUAAAUCGAUUCGGGGAAUCAUUUCAAUUCUGCUAUUGGAUCUUGGCCUCGCCGAAUUCUGUAUGGCGAAUCUAGCCGAUGAAUGCCACUUGCUUAGUCACGUUUGCUUUUGCCAAAUUCAGCUUGAUUUUCCUUUUUGAUUCUUUCAAAGUUAAGGCAAAAAAAUUUCAAUGUUUCUAAUUUCCUUGCCA
ensembl:lncRNA